UUCGCAUUUUUCGCUAAGCUGUAAACAACUGUUCGGUUUCUUAAAGAAACUUUCUUUUCCCAGUCUUCGCAUUUUUUUCAUAGAAAACUCCGACCGAUCAGAGCGCGAGUACGCUGGUGGAGCGCCCGAGGUAGCGUAUGAGCGCAGCCGCCUAGCGCGUAGCCGUAGAGGCGAUCAAAAUAUUUUUCGAAACGGAAUUACAUGUAAUUUCGCACCGAAAUGAAACUGUCAGUGAUAGUUUGUCGUUGAAGUUAAGGAUCGGUUUUAGCGUACCGUUCGGAACAGGUUUUACGCGCCCCACGGGUUAAUUUCCAUACGAAACCGUAUGCAAAUGGGUCUUCAUUCAUAGAUGCGUGAGACACGGCUGAUCUUUUUUGAAAAAAAAGACCGAGAUUUCCUGAUUUUGCAAAGAACGGAAGUUUCAGAGAUAAAAUCUCUGGCUCGCUUCUUGAUUGAAAAGACAUAGUGAAUCACGCCUUUGCAGUUCCAGUCACGAAUGAAAGGAAUUGAAAUUCUUUUUCCUGCUGGACAAAACGUUGGAAUCAACUCGGGUUUUAAUCUUUAUUAGAUGGAUAGUUUGUCUAACGUAACGCCGAAUGUUUCCUUGCUAUGUCGAAUGGAUGACGUGUUGCGAGGUAAACCGAAAACGCCUUAAUUAAACCUUUGAUGUCCAUCAGCAAUGGCUGAAAUGUAUUAAACAAUGUUUUUAUGAUUUGUCUGCGCAAAGUGACCGUCCGUCCCUUUUCCAUUUCGAAAAAGGCAAUAUUUUUCCAAGUUGAGAAACAAUGGUGCGUAUCGAGGGAUGGGUGUGCUAGCAUUCACUGUGAGAAAGGAAAAUGAUUGGACGUAUUUGCAUACGGCGAAAAGUUAAAACGACAGAAAGAAAUAUCGAAAUAGGAGAGAUCAACAAACAAAGCUUACGAAUGCACGUCGUGCAUUUAUGCGUUGUGAAACACGUAUAUGUACGUAGGAAUGCUUAUGCGGGUACAGCCUUUCUUUGCGGUUGUCGUUUGCCGUCGGUGGUCAUCGAACUCGCGACAAAUUCAAAAUAAACGGCCAAGACGCACCUAAGCAUGCGUAUACGGCCACCGUCGACGAUCUUCUCGUCUGCAAAACACAGCAAACAUGAAUUUCAUUGUCAGUAAAACCUAUCCCACGAAGCAACUGAUAACGUAUCAGUUGUUCCCGUGUAAUAUCGAUCACUUUUUUUAACAUUGUCAAGAUGCCGUGCUAGUCUAGCGGCCGAAAAAUGUGGCGAUAUUUGGAAUCUUUUAAACAAAUAACUACGCUAUGAAUUGUUUUAAAAUCCUGCGUGUCUAUCGAUCGAUACUGAAACAGUGAGCUAAAUUUUGUUCAAGUGAAAAUAAUAGUUUGCUAUCGAGUUAUAGUGCGAUUGUGUGGAAUCGUUAAAAAAAUUGCUGAUCAUGGGUGUUACGAUGUAAACAAUUGCAGUUAUUUCAACUUAAAAAAAAAAAAAAAAAAGGCCAAAGAUAUUCUUAGUCUAUGUGGAUAUGGUUAUCGACUGAAGUAGAAUAAUUUUUAAUUACUGAUGAAAAAUUACGAUUUUCUUGGCUGGCAAAAUUCGAAUUUUGCAUACAUCGAAAAUAUUCUAGUUUCAGCAGGUAAUGAGAGGUGUGCGUUGGUAAGGAUGCAGCUCCAUUUCUUCAAAUUUUUAGGAAAUUAAAAGAACAUGUUUUUUUUGUACUAUAAGAAAGAAAAGAAAAGACAAAACAAAUAGAGAAAUAGAUAAAGAUGUACCGAUGUCCAACAGGUGGCGUUUCGAAUAACAAUAGAACUGCGCAGCGACUCUUCUGGAUGAGGACGGCGAAAAGAAAAUAAAGCGAGGGAAAGAGGAAGAACGGAGAUUCGGCGAGAGAAUCGAGGGGAGGAAAGCUGACAAUGAGUGUGGUGAAAUGAUAAGGCGGAUUAUCAACACUGCUUCGUCUCCGAUGCAGGUGUACCUACUGAACGGACAGCGGCUCCUUUGCUUCGAAUCGUGUAUACCAAGCUCUUCCUUCUCAUUUUCAAUCUUUUAUCUCUUUCUUAUAUUUUUCUAGCAGCCUGUCCAUUACUCCAAAUAAAUUGUACGCAAUAAACGUUAGGGAAGAGCGGAAAUCGUUAAAAAAUAUUUCUCGUUUCGUAAACUCAAGAUGGCAGACGUGAAGUUAUUAAUUAUUACGUUCCAAUUGACUUCCCGAUUUAUAGGGAAGUUAUUGUAUUUCCCCCUAAAAUGAAAAAUCGAUUUUUUAGCAG